UUCUAAUAAUGGCGCAGUAUCCUAGUCGGCGCUGCCGGCUCCCAGGAAGGGCCUAAAAAUCCUUUAAAGGGCAUAACUGUGAAACCUUUGGUGCCUGCUUCAUACGCCCAGUGUGGGGUGGGUGCUGGAGGAAGGCGUAACAAUUACGCCUGCGGGGGGAGGGCGGCCUCCAAUGGCAUGGAGGUCCCGACCCUGCCUCUGCGGAGACCUGUUUUUGUGCAGAAGCGUACUCCCCAGUGGUCCGCGACUUCUGUACGGAGCAGGAUGAGAACCUGUAUUGCGGUGCUACCCGACCCCGUGUCGUAACGCUGUGUGCAGAGUAGCCUGCCUUGCGUGAGCAGAUCGGGACAGAGGUGUCAGGCACGCAGACCCCCGGCCAGGGGCGAGGCGUGAUAUUGCCUCUCGAAAGCCUGCUUGCAAAAGAGGAUAAGAGUCGGUUUGUGCUGCCGUGGAAAUCACCUAGGCUGUCUUUUAUAGAGCGGAUAAGGGAUUGCAGUACGGACUAAGUGGCAAUCGGGUUGCUUCUUUGGCGACGGGAAGACGGAUGCUUCAAUGGGAAACCACUCGACUGGCGACAGAGAGCAGCGUCCGGGGAAAGCCUACCCGACCUAAGCCGUAAGUUUAAUCUUAUCUGUUGCCAUUAUUUCUUUUAAA
rnacentral:sRNA from 1 species